rnacentral:rRNA from 1 species
AACGAACGCUGGCGGCAGGCUUAACACAUGCAAGUCGAACACAUCCUUCGGGGUGAGUGGCAGACGGGUGAGUAACGCGUGGGAACGUGCCCUUCAGUUCGGGAUAACCCAGGGAAACUUGGGCUAAUACCGGAUACGUGCGAGAGCAGAAAGAUUUAUCGCUGAAGGAUCGGCCCGCGUCUGAUUAGCUAGUUGGUGGGGUAAUGGCCCACCAAGGCGACGAUCAGUAGCUGGUCUGCGAGGAUGAUCAGCCACAUUGGGACUGGGACACGGCCCAAUCUCAUACGGGAGUCAGCAGUGGGGAAUACUGAACAAUGGGCGCAAGCCUGAUCCAGCCCUGCCGCGUGAGUGAUGAAGGCCUUAGGGUUGUAAAGCCCUUUCGUCCGGGACGAUAAUGACGGUACCGGAAGGAGAAGCCCCGGCUAACUUCGUGCCAGCCGCCGCCGUAA